rnacentral:rRNA from 1 species
AUGGAGACGGAGACUUCCAUGGACAUCAUGGUGUUCGACACAGUAACUGAGACGUUCCGGUGGAUGCGCAGUUCUGGCCAGUUGGGCUAUCAGGUGUCAUUGUGGGAGAUGGACAACAAGCUUGCUUCAUGCAGCACCAAUGAUGCCAUCAUAGAGAUUUGGAUGAUGCAAGACUACGAGGCUGAGGCCUGGGCCUUGAAGUACCGGAUUAACUUGUUAGCGAUGAAGACAUUACCACAAUUCGAGUAUGUUUCUAAGAUGGCACUGCUUAACCAGCGUGAGCUGCUGAUCUAUUGUCACACUGCAUCGGAGUGUCCUGACUUUAUGUUGCACUGUGACACUGAUGGAAAGUUUUUGGGAUAUGUUGAAAUCAAAGAGGGAAAGUACUCCGUAUACUUCACUUCUCAGUACUUUCAGGAGAGCAUUCUUCCACUUCCGUUCUGUGAGAUGCAAGAAGAAGGUGGUGUGGAUAAGGAGCCUCCAUUCUUCAUAGGGCUAUAA